rnacentral:RNase_P_RNA from 1 species
CGAGCCGGCCGGGCGGCCGCGUGGGACCUUCAGGGGUCUCCCGAGGAACGUCCGGGCUCCAUACGGCAGGGUGGUGGGUAACGCCCACCCGGGGUGACCCGCGGGACAGUGCCACAGAAAACAGACCGCCGGGGAUCUUCGGAUUCCCGGUAAGGGUGAAACGGUGGUGUAAGAGACCACCAGCGCCUGGGGUGACCCAGGCGGCUAGGUAAACCCCACCCGGAGCAAGGUCAAGAGGGGCGGUCGCUUCACGGCGACGGCCCUGCGCGGACGAUCGAGGGCUGCCCGCCCGAGUCCGCGGGUAGACCGCACGAGCCUGUCGGCAACGGCAGGCCUAGAUGGAUGGCCGCCGCCGCGGCUCCCGUAAGGGACCGCGCGCACAGAACCCGGCGUACAGGCCGACUCGUCCG